rnacentral:rRNA from 1 species
UACUCGAGUGGCGAACGGGUGAGUAACACGUGGGUGAUCUGCCCUGCACUUCGGGAUAAGCUUGGGAAGCUGGGUCUAAUACCGGAUAGGAGCCAUCUUUAGUGUGGUGGUUGGAAAGUUUUUUCGGUGUAGGAUGAGCUCGCGGCCUAUCAGCUUGUUGGUGGGGUAAUGGCCUACCAAGGCGGCGACGGGUAGCCGGCCUGAGAGGGUGUACGGCCACAUUGGGACUGAGAUACGGCCCAG